UGAUUUGUUGGACGCUAGCGGCGGAUGGGUGAGUAACACGUGGGCAAUCUGCCCUAAAGACUGGGAUACCACUUGGAAACAGGUGCUAAUACCGGAUAACAACAUGAAUCGCAUGAUUCAAGUUUGAAAGGCGGCGUAAGCUGUCACUUUAGGAUGAGCCCGCGGCGCAUUAGCUAGUUGGUGGGGUAAAGGCCUACCAAGGCAAUGAUGCGUAGCCGAGUUGAGAGACUGAUCGGCCACAUUGGGACUGAGACACGGCCCAAACUCCUACGGGAGGCAGCAGUAGGGAAUCUUCCACAAUGGACGCAAGUCUGAUGGAGCAACGCCGCGUGAGUGAAGAAGGUUUUCGGAUCGUAAAGCUCUGUUGUUGGUGAAGAAGGAUAGAGGCAGUAACUGGUCUUUAUUUGACGGUAAUCAACCAGAAAGUCACGGCUAACUACGUGCCAGCAGCCGCGGUAAUACGUAGGUGGCAAGCGUUGUCCGGAUUUAUUGGGCGUAAAGCGAGCGCAGGCGGAAUGAUAAGUCUGAUGUGAAAGCCCACGGCUCAACCGUGGAACUGCAUCGGAAACUGUCAUUCUUGAGUGCAGAAGAGGAGAGUGGAAUUCCAUGUGUAGCGGUGGAAUGCGUAGAUAUAUGGAAGAACACCAGUGGCGAAGGCGGCUCUCUGGUCUGCAACUGACGCUGAGGCUCGAAAGCAUGGGUA
rnacentral:rRNA from 1 species